rnacentral:lncRNA from 1 species
CCACCGCACCUGGCCGCAUAUGCACGUUUACAGCAUCACACACAAACACUCCAGGCAGAGAAUGGAACUGAUAGUCACGCCUGUCUGCUGUGGCCUCAGCCCAAAGCUUUUAGUACUUCUGAGCAAGGAGGAGUGUCAGCCUGGCCAGGGUGUCUCACUGGUGUCCAAAAACUACGCCCCUAGUGUUGUUUCUGCUAAUUCUGCCUACAUUGUCCUUACCUGCCUCCUCUUCUGGCUUAUUCCUGCUAAUUUGUUAAGAAUUGACUUGGCACCACCUCCUCCAAGAAGUCUUCCCUGACUUCCCAGUGCUGGGCUAGGUCUUGUUCAGCUAGUUGCAUAGCUUCUGGGGACAAGAGCCACACUUUCCUCUCCCAUGGCGACCCCACCCUUACACUGUCUUGAGAAAGCUGGGAAUACAGUGGGUACUCUGUAUAUGUUAGUUGUGUUUCAGAAUGGUUCCUUUUCCCCUCACCCCAGUCAAGCACAGUGGGAUUUUUCUCCAGUAUUCACUUGGAGACCCUGGUGGGGUUUCUGAAGGUAAGCCUUAUAAAAGUGUGCCCCCCACCCCACGCUGAGCCCCUAGGUUUUAAGUCUUGAGGUAGCCCCCACUCAGCUUGAGCAGUUCGCUGAAGUUGCCUUUUUGUUCCUCCCAGUUCCUGGCUCCAGCAGCCUGUCCUCACUGUGAGCUGUGGUUCUCUGUCUCCGCCUGUCUCUUUAGUUUUAGGGUUGGCUGUUUGUCCUGUAACCUCAAUUUUCUGAGGAUUCUAAGAAAAGUCACUGAUUUUCAGUUUGCUUAACUUUUUUCUGGUUUCAGGGGUGGGAGCUGACAUCUGCCAAUCUGGAAGUUGAUGUGCAUAGGUUGAGUGCACUUGAAUCUUCUCUUUGCUUCUUUGGCGGACCCAGGGUCCAGGGACAGGGAGGGGACAGGGUGGAGACCAGCAGACCCCGUUUUCUCUGACUGGGGCCUGAGGACCUGAAGGGAAUGCAGCCCCUCGGGGACUUCUGUAUUAAACACAGACACACAGACUCCACCGGGCUGUGAUGACUGGGGGUGGGGAGUCAGUCAUAGUGUUUGCACUUAAUUCUGACAACAAAGCUGAGGGUCAUCAGAGCCCGGAGUGGGAGUUUGUUAAAGUGACAGUCACCUGGUGUCAUUCUCACAGCUGAGGACCUCCUGCAUGGCGGGGAGGGUGUGCCUCCUCAUCUCUGAGCGCCCUGCCUGCCAACCUCCCUCCCCCGCCCCUACUUCCUUGGCCUACUUGGGCCUUGGCACCAGGCCUGUGCCAGGGCCCAAGUUGUCUGGCAGCAAAGACACAGUCCCUGUCUGUAGGGGGACGGACACACAGCUCCUUUGCACACAGCUUUGGGACAGGGAGAGGGGCAGAAUCCUAUUUGUCCUAGGAGAAGCUCAGCUCCACCUGGGUGGGACAUGCAGCAGGUGCUCAGUGUUUGUUGACUGACUGAGUGAGGGCUUUCAAGGACCCACACGAUGUCCGCUUCUGCCCAGAGCACCCUGAGCCGACGUACAUGAGGAGUUUCCACUGAGGAGCCAUGUCAGGGCGUGCAGUGUGGGCCUGGAGAGCCAGCACCGGCUUCCUGGUUCCACUGAGCAGCCGCGUCCGCCAACACUCGGUUUCCGGCUUCCUCAUUGCACUGAGCAGCCGCGUCUGCCAACACUCGGUUUUCGGCUUCCUCGUUCCACUGAGCAGCAGCGUCCGCCAACACUUGGUUUCAAGCUUCUUUGGCUUUUCAGGUUUUUUCCCCUCUUAACAAAAUGAUGAAAAUGCACAACAGGCCGAAAUGCCCAAAUCCGUCACUCAUGAUACAUUUUACCAAAGUCAAAAGAAAAAAGAAACGUCCUCCUUAAUCACCUUUCAUAUUUUCAUUAGCAACAUCAAAGCGAUCAGGUCUGGGAAAGCCCAUCUGAGUCAUGUCUCUGGUAAGAAGUUGAUGAAGAAUACAAAGGAACUUGAAUUUCAAAGCCAAGCCUUUAUCUCUCAUUCAUGUUUUCUACUGUGAGGGCUCCCCCAAGACCCAGCCCUGUCAUUCAUUAGGGGAGGGCCUGCAGGUCUGAGCAGACACAGUGUUGCCCACCCUAAAGCAUUCAGUGCAGCCGGUAUGGGUGACCCUGUCCUGAGCCCACUGGAACCCUCAUCUCUCCCCCCAACUGCAACCCAGGGAUAGGAGUUGCUUAACCUCCCUGAGCCUGUUUUCUUAUGUGUUUAUUAGCAGCUGUGGGGCGCCUGCUUCAUGCCUUACUUUGUGCUGGACCAGGUGGUAUGCAAGGAACGACAGACAUGUCCGUAAGGAGCUUGAGGCUGAGCUUGGGAGACAGACGCAGCAAGUGCGGGAGGGGUCAGUGCAAAGCCAUGUCAGGGCAUGCAGUGACCCAGAGGAGAGAUUGGCUCUACCAGGCACACCCACGAGGGCUCCCUGGAGGUGGAGGCACAGUGUGUUUUGAUGGCUUGUGGGAGGGCUAAGUUUUCUGGGAAGGGAGAGAGAGAGCCGCCCAAGGGCCAGGCCCUGUUGUCUCAGCAGCCCCAAGGCACUGGAAGCCCUGGAGUGGAUGGUGGUGUUGGGGAAUUCAGGCUUCUGCAGGUACCCGGGAGAGCAAAGGGUGGACACAGUGGAAAUUGGUCCCAAGUCACCCAAAGUCCAAGAGUGGAAAGUGGAGACCCCUUCUCAGUAUCUCCCCAACUCUGUGUGCGGUACAGGUGGUCUCGGAUGCACUCCUUCUGCUGCCUACCCCGAAUGGCCCUGAGGAGGGCUGUUUACCAGGCACCAAUGCUUUAUCAUCUGAAAAACACAUGGCAGAAAGAAUUCAAGGGAGGACGGAGAAAACCCAAAGAUACCUUGUCAGGGAGCUCCUGCAAACUGAUGCCAGCAGGGCCAGGCGAGCAUGGAUCACGUGGACACGGAGGCCCUUUGUCCUGCUUCGUCCGUCCAACCCUAUGCCAGUGAGCUCCACGAAGCAGUGACGCCUGCAGAGACUCUGGCCACAGGAAGUGUCAGUAUCCUUUGGUGCAGCUGUGAAUGGUGCCCAGGAGCUGAGCGUCUUGUAGUGCCUGAAGCACGUGUCUCAGUCACAGUUUGGGUAAGUCCACCGGCUAACCCUAGCCAGAAUGAGUAAGAAAAAAAUCAAGCGUCUCUGGAGAGCUUCUUUGAAAAGGGGGAAAGGCCCAAUGGUGAAACAGCAGAAGACUCAAAGAAAGUUGCAUUUAAAAGGAAACAGCAAGAGCCCUGCUUCAAUUAUGGAUUCAUUGCAACAAGUGAUUCAUAUUCCCCAAGCCCUCUUUGCAUAAUAUGUGACCACUGGCUAUCCAGUGAAGCCGUAAAACCUUCAAAACCGCUUCGCCACAUGGAGACCAAGCACCUUGCAUUAAAAGACAAACCUUUAGAGUUUUUCAAAAGAAAAAAAAAAACACGAACACGAAGAACAGAAGCAAUGAUUGAAGGCCACCACUUAGUUGACUGUGUCUGCACUGAGAGCGUCACUCUUAGUGUCUAACCGCAUUGCUAAAGCUAGGAAUCCCUUUACUGUUGGUGGAGUUGAUCCUGCCUGCUGCUGCUAAGGACAUCUGUCGUGAACUUUUGAGAGAGACUGCAGUUGAAAGGGUAGCACGUAUUCCUCUUUUGGCUAGCACCAUAACUAGAUGAAUUGAUGAAACGACAGAGGGUAUUGAGGCACAAUUGUUAGAGGGGAUUAAUGAGUCACUGCGGUACGCAACCCAGGGUUGACGAGUCUACCGAUGUUGAAAACAAGGCAACAAUGCUUGUUUUUGUGCAUAUAUGUUCAGGAGGAUGUGCAUGAGGAUGUGUUAUGUGUGCUUCUGUUGCCAACCCACACCACAGCUGGUAUUCACGUCUUUGAUUACAUAUCAGGAAAGGUGAAUUGAUCACUUUAUGUUGGUCUGUGCAUGGACGGAGAGACUGCCAUGGCUGGACGGCUUUCUGGUUUCAUUACUCAGGUCAAAGAGGUCACUUCUGAAUGUGAGUCCACACGCUGUGUCAUCCAUGGAGAAAUGCCGGCCAGCCAAAAAAUGUUGCCUGAACUUAACAGCGUUUUGGAAGCUGUGAUUAAAAUGAUCAGUCACGUUAAAGUACAUGGGCUUUAACUCACAUCUGUUCUUGCAGCGGUGCCGAAAAAAUCACCUGAACUUAAGAACGUUUUGCAGGAUGUGAUUGAAAUGAUCAGCCACAGCAAAGUGCAUGCCUUUAACUCACGAGGUCUGUUCUCGCGGCUCUGUGAGGAGAUGGACGCGGUACACACACGUCUUCUCUGAUACACAGAAGUGAGAUGCUUUCCAAAGGUAGAUCACUGGCCAGAGUUUCUGAGUUAUGAGAGCUGCUCCAGAGAUUUCUUUUAGAAAAAUAGUCCCCACUAGCAGCAUAUUUCAGUGACAUAGGAUGAGUCGCAAAACUUGCUGACUUGUGCGACGUAUUCAACCUGCUCAACAAACUCAAUCUGUCACUUCAGGGAAGAAUGACAACUGUGUUCAAGUCGGCAGAUAAAGUGGCUGCAUUCAAAGCCAAAUUGGAAUUAUGGGGGUGACGAGGGAACACUGGGAUUUUUGACAUGUUUCAAACAUUAGCAGAGAUUUUGAAAGAGAUAGAGCCAGGGCCUUCCCUCUUCCAGCUGGUGCAUGAUCACCUA